rnacentral:tRNA from 1 species
GCCUUCGUGAAGUAGUGGUCAGCACGCUCGACUAGUAUUCCAGAGGUCCGUGGUUAGAGUCCCGGCGAGAGCA